GACGAACGCUGGCGGCGUGCUUAACACAUGCAAGUCGAACGGAAAGGCCCUGCUUUUGUGGGGUGCUCGAGAGGCGAACGGGUGAGUAACACGUGAGUAACCUGCCCUUGACUUUGGGAUAACUUCAGGAAACUGGGGCUAAUACCGGAUAGGAGCUCCUGCUGCAUGGCGGGGGUUGGAAAGUUUCGGCGGUUGGGGAUGGACUCGCGGCUUAUCAGCUUGUUGGUGGGGUAGUGGCUUACCAAGGCUUUGACGGGUAGCCGGCCUGAGAGGGUGACCGGCCACAUUGGGACUGAGAUACGGCCCAGACUCCUACGGGAGGCAGCAGUGGGGAAUAUUGCACAAUGGGCGGAAGCCUGAUGCAGCAACGCCGCGUGCGGGAUGACGGCCUUCGGGUUGUAAACCGCUUUCGCCUGUGACGAAGCGUGAGUGACGGUAAUGGGUAAAGAAGCACCGGCUAACUACGUG
rnacentral:rRNA from 1 species